UACGUAGGGUGCAAGCGUUAAUCGGAAUACUGGGCGUAAAGCGUGCGCAGGCGGUGAUGUAAGACAGAUGUGAAAUCCCCGGGCUCAACCUGGGAACUGCAUUUGUGACUGCACAGCUUGAGUGCGGCAGAGGGGGAUGGAAUCCGCGUGUAGCAGUGAAAUGCGUAGAUAUGCGGAGGAACACCGAUGGCGAAGGCAAUCCCCUGGGCCUGCACUGACGCUCAUGCACGAAAGCGUGGGAGCAAACAGG
rnacentral:rRNA from 1 species